UCCUCCGUGGCGCAAUUGGCUAGCGCGUUCGACUGUUAUCAUCUCUACGUAGAAUUGAGGCAAUCGAGAGGUUGACAGUUCAAGCCUGUCCGGGGGAA